GGGGAAUCUUCCGCAAUGGGCGAAAGCCUGACGGAGCAAUACCGCGUGUGGGAGGAAGGCCCUUGGGUCGUAAACCACUUUUCUUAGGGAAGAAGAUCUGACGGUACCUAAGGAAUAAGCCUCGGCUAACUCCGUGCCAGCAGCCGCGGUAAUACGGAGGAGGCAAGCGUUAUCCGGAAUUAUUGGGCGUAAAGAGUCCGUAGGUGGUUAAUCAAGUCUGCUGUUAAAGGCGGAAGCUCAACUUCCGACAGGCAGUGGAAACUGGUUAACUAGAGAAUGGUAGGGGUAGAGGGAAUUCCCAGUGUAGCGGUGAAAUGCGUAGAGAUUGGGAAGAACAUCGGUGGCGAAAGCGCUCUACUGGGCCAUUACUGACACUGAGGGACGAAAGCUAGGGUAGCGAAAGGCAUUAGAUACCCCUGU
rnacentral:rRNA from 1 species